rnacentral:rRNA from 1 species
CACGUAGGGCGCAAGCGUUGUCCGGAAUUAUUGGGCGUAAAGAGCUCGUAGGUGGUUUGUUACGUCUGCUGUGAAAUCCUAGGGCUUAACCCUGGGCUUGCAGUGGAUACGGGCAGACUAGAGGUAGGUAGGGGAGAAUGGAAUUCCUGGUGUAGCGGUGAAAUGCGCAGAUAUCAGGAGGAACACCGGUGGCGAAGGCGGCUCACUGGACCGGUACUGACGCUGAUGCGCGAAAGCGUGGGGAGCAAACAGG